rnacentral:lncRNA from 1 species
GAAAGGAAGCACUGUCCAAGCCCAUGAAAUUCUCCAAUCAUAUUGCUCCACGAGUCAUUCCAUCUGUCUAUCAUACCAUCCAACGUUAUGGUAACACUUUAUCCCCUACUUUUCCUUCUCAUCCUUUUCUUCUUCUUCUUCUUUAUCUUUUUCUUCAAAGAAAUAAAUAGAAAUCAGGGUUUGAUUUGGUAUUGAAGGGCUGUGUUUUAUAUGAUUAGAUAAUUUCUAUUUAUUGUUUGAAAAUUAAUUUUAUAAACAUUUAUUUCAUCUCUGUAUGUUGUUCUAUUAUCAACUAUCUGUUUUCAAAAACAAUGCAAAUUUUUAAAGAUUUUACCAUAAAUACUGGUGUUAUUGGGAGGCUUAAUUUUAUUUUAUUUUUCUUAAAGAAAAAAAAACACUUUUGAUUCUUAUACUACUUUGGUUUUGCUUGUAACGAUUUACUUUCAAUUGUCUAAUAAUUUAAUUCAUCUAAUAUGUCCAUAUUUAUUAUUUUAUGUCUUAGAUAUACUGUGUAUUUGGUAAAGAUAUUGAGUUUAUCGAUUUUUUUUUAUGAAAGAAAUCCUAUUAGAUUGUAACACUAAAUUCUGCACAUAAUUUAAACAAUAAUAACUAGAUUUUUAUACAAGGAUGAUACACAAUGGACUAUCGCAACAAAUAAAAGCUUAAGGGGGCUAAAAAUAUAUAUAUCAAGGAUCCUAAAAGUUAUGAUCAGCAGCCAAAUCGCGGCAAAAAUGGAUAUUUACAUCUAUCACUUUAGUAAAACGGUGCCUAAAAUGGCUCCCAAUAUGUUGAUUUUGAACUGUGCAGGCAAGAAUUCAAUGAUGUGGCUUGGUCCCUUGCCAAGAGUGCACAUAAUGGACCCUGAACAACUCAAAACUGUGUUCUCAUUCUUCAAUGAUUUCCAAAGGCCAACUACGGAUCCCUUUAUCAGGCUUCUUAUACAUGGACUUGUAAGUCUUGAAGGAGAAAAAUGGGUUAAACACAGAAAGAUAAUCAACCCUGCAUUUCAUUUAGAAAAGCUCAAGGUAUCUAUCUCUUUUUGAAGAGUGAAAGAGAAUACGAUUUCUGCUUCUUGUGUUUUUUUUUCUUCAAAAUACAUUUUUAUUAUUAUCUCUAGUUCCUAAAAAAUAAGAAAUAUAAUAGAAAACGAAAAACAUAUAAUUUCAAGUCCUCAUACAUACCUUUACCUUGGCUUACAGGCCAUGGUACCAGCAUUCUACCACAGUUGUAAUGAAAUGGUUAGCAAGUGGGAAAGCAUGGUCUCUAGAGAGGGAUCUUGUGAGUUAGAUGUAAUGCCUUAUCUACAAAAUAUGGCUGCCGAUGUGAUUUCUCGAACUGCUUUUGGGAGUAGCUAUGAGAGAGGAAAAAAGAUCUUCAAGCUACAAACUGAACUAACCAAUUUGGUGAUUCAAGCUAGCUUAGAGACAUAUAUUCCAGGAUGGAGGUAGAAACACUAUCCAUCUUACCACAUAAUUAUAUACAUCUAUUGUGAAAAAUUUCAUAUCAUGAUUUAAUAUUUUGUGCAGAUUUCUACCCACAAAAUCAAACAGGAAAAUAAAAGAGACGAAUAGAGAGAUAACAACUUUAGUAUUGGGCAUUAUAAAUGAAAAGGAAAAGUCUAUGAAAGCAGGUGAAGAAAUACAAACUGAUCUGUUAAGCAUUCUCAUGGAAUCCAAUAUGAAUGAAAUUAAACAUGGAAGAAACAGUAAGGACGUUGGGAUGAGCAUACAGGCUGUUAUUGAAGAAUGCAGGCUUUUCUAUAUUGCUGGCCAAGAAACUACAGCAACAUUACUAAUUUGGACGAUGGUAUUGUUGAGUUCAUACUCAGACUGGCAAGAACGAGCAAGAGCAGAGGUCUUUGAGAUCUUUGGUAACAAGAAACCAGAUUACGAUGGUUUAAAUAGACUAAAAGUUGUAAGUGUGAUAACAUUUCCAACAUUUACUCUCUAUUAAUAUAUUUUUCUCAUUUUUAUUUCAUCUUCUAAUAUAAAACAAUCACAUGAGCAUGUAUUAUACGUGUCCUUAUCAUGCCCAUAUGUCCAAGAUUAUAUAACAGUUAUGUGCCACUAUAUAGGUGUUUUGUCGUGUCAUAUUCAUAUAGUGUAUUUGUAUCUACGUUAGCAAGGCAAGUUGUGCGACUUUUGGGAAUGUGUUAUAAAACGGUAUGUAUUAGCUAGUACAUGACAAUAGACUUUUCCAAUGAUGCAGGUAACUAUGAUUUUCAACGAGGUCCUCAGGUUAUACCCACCAGUGAGUAUGUUAGGUCGCACUACUAGGAAAGAAACAAAACUUGGAAAUAUGACUUUACCAGGAGGAAUAAUGCUGAGCUUACCAAUUAUUCUUAUCCAACGUGACCCAGAGUUAUGGGGAGAAGAUGCACAUGAAUUCAAUCCAGAGAGAUUUUCUGAAGGAGUUUUUAAAGCAACAAAAAAUCCAGGUGCUUUUAUGCCAUUUGGAUGGGGUCCUAGAAUAUGCAUAGGACAAAAUUUUGCCAUGAUUGAAGCAAAAAUGGCAUUAUCAAUGAUCCUACAACACUUCUCAUUUGAGCUUUCGCCAUCAUACACACACACUCCCUUUGCCGCCUUAACAACACAACCUCAACAUGGAGCUCAUAUCAUACUACACAAACUCUAGUGCCUCUUAACCUAUUUAUUAUUAGCUUGCACAUUAUCAGAAGGCUAGGAAAGCACUGUGCUUUGUCUGGUAUAAUUUCAAAUCCUUUGAGAAAAAGAUACCUACUACAAAAGGAAUUGAUAUCCUUUCAACUAGACACCCUUUUCAUUGCCACCCAGCUCCUAAAUAAUAAACAGUUUCAGGCUUGGGAUGUGAUUAAUGCUUGUUAUUGCACCAUUUUCUACUAAUGUUCACAAACUUUUCACCAUCCGAAAAGAUACUCAAUAACAAUAGUCAAGUUUAUGCACUACAAUUUUUUAAAACUAACCUUUCAUUCUCAUUGUCAUUUUCUCAAACAAGUUAUCUGUAACAAUGAGUUCCUCAGCAGCAUUCUCGUAGACUUCAACCAUAAAAGUAAUCCAGAACAUAUAUGAAUACUUGACACGAUUUAGUUGAGAUUACGUUUUGGUUGAAAAAAUCUACCUUUAAAAAAUAGAUUACAAAAAGCCAUAUAUUAGGUUAAAGCAGAUUGGGACAAAAAGUGGAGGAUAGUGCUUUUGAAAAAACAAGAAAGAGAAGCAGAAGCCAAAACAAUGCACAAGUAUUAGUUGAUUUAUUAGAUAACGGGGAGAUAAAAACUACUUUGAAAUACAAGGGUGUUAAUUACUUGCUACUUGCAAAUACAUAAAUGACAACUUAGGGGAUUUAGUUUAGAAUCCGUACAUGAAACAAUGUGAAGGAAUUAUGAGAAUACAACUGUUCAAUUAUGUCAAAAGAAAAAAUACACUCCCAAACUAAGUUUUCAUAUUCUAAUUCAACAUUUCUUAUAUUUUACAAGUUAGAUUGGAGAUUUACAUAAACAUUUCGUAUCCUAAAUCAAACCAUUCAAUUCACAAAUAUAUCAAAAACAUCUUCAUCCUUUACUUGAAGAUAAAAGUUUCGUGAAGCUAUCAAAAACUAGCACCCAAAACGCCUAUCUCAAAUUCCUGAAAAAUGUUGAUAAAAAAUAGGGGACGACCACAUUAACCAAGUUCAUCCAGAAAAUACCUAUGACUGUAUUGAUUGAUUAGGAAAGAUAGAUAACUAUUGAUUACUUAAGAGAGAAUGAUUACGAGUAAUGAGACAAACCCAAAGGACCGACUGAGAUCAGAUCGAAUCGAAUCAAACGCAGCCGAAAAUUUCCACCGGUUAAAUGGAUUCAUCGCAAUAACCCCUAAUUCAUCUGUAUUUCGUUCAAACCAACAACUCCACUAAAGGAAAACCCUAAGCCACAGUAAACAACGUCGUUUGUCGAGAAAGAUCCCUAAAUGAACAGAAUUACACAAUCUAACUACAGAAAUACAUCACAUACUUCAACAUUCAAACCUAAUCGCAAGAAGAGGGGAAAACGAAUGAAUAAAUUGAAAAAAGGGGAAAAUUUAGGGCAGUUCCCUGAAUUAGAGCAUGAAUGAGAAACAUGCAAAACCUUGAGGCUGCCCCAAAACAAAUAUCGGCCGGGUGAAAUUGAGUACUCGAGUAUUCGAUUUACACGUCCGAGAACCCAUUGGAUCGGCCUUGAAGAAGAAGAGAUUUUCAAAAGGAAAAAAAGAAAGACGAAUGUAGAAAAGUCCUUCCUCAUCGAAACUGCAAAUUGCUUGAUUUAGAAUCAAACAUAGAGAUCGAAAGAAGUAGAGAAAGGAAACCAUUUGAUGUAUGCCCGCAACGGAACAGUAUCACCAUCUUCAUAUCGGUGCUCUGUUCUCUCGAAGGCAAUGUC